GGCAGUGUGGCAUAGUGGUUACAGUGUUGGACUUGGACUCCUGAGACGAGGGUUCAAAUCCUCAUGCAGCCU